UACAAAAUGGCAUUUUUUUUCGAUUUUGUCGCACAAUGAUUUUUUUUUCCGUUUCGCCGUGCAUUUUUGGGUAAAAUGACUAAUGUCACUGCAAAGUAGAAUUGGCGACGCAAAAAAUAAGCCAUAAUAUGGAUUUUUAGGUGGAAAAUUGAAAGGGUUAUGAUUUUUAAAAGGUAAGGAGGAAAAAUCGAAAGUGCAAAAACGGAAAAACCCUGAGUCCUUAAGGGGUUAAAGUAGUACAGUAACAGAAAAGCAUGUAAAGAUGGCUACCAGAAAAAGAGAGAACAUGUUAGUUUUAUAGCAGAAUCCCCAAAGAGUAGCAACAUUACAUUUUUCAAUUUCCUCCUACAAAUAAUAAGAAAAACAUAUUUUUGCACAUAUUAGAUUGUGAUAUCACAAUAUUUAUCUCUGGUCAUAUCUUACAUUAUACAUUAUCCUAGUGACAUAGUGUAAGAUGAAGUAUAGCUGACACAGGGUUUCCUGUCAGGAUUUUAUAGGAUGAAGCACCACAUGCAAAUGUCUUUCUACAGGUCAUAUGUGUUAUAGGUUAAAAGCCGCCUGUCACCCAGGAUGUGACUGCGAAUCACUGGAUUGCAGGGACACUAUACAACAUGUUGCUGUUCUGGUGUGUGCUGUGUGUAUCCUCACUGCAGGGAGUGUUGUCACAGGCGCAGCUUGUUCAGCCAUCCGCAGAAGUCAGAAAGCCUGGAGAGAGUGUGAAGAUGUCCUGUAAGACGUCUGGAUUUUCAUUCACAGGCUCCUAUAUACACUGGAUUCAACAGGUUCCUGGAAAAGGAUUGAAAUGGGUCGGAAGAAUUGACCCUGCAGAUGGAAACACAGUAUAUUCCUCAUCCUUUGAAGGACGAUUCACAAUAACAACAGACAAUUCCAUCACCACAGCCUAUUUACAGAUAAACCGCCUCAGUCUGGAGGAUUCAGCCACAUAUUACUGUGCAAGACACAAUGAGAAAAAGAGGCCAUCUGCCAUACAAAAACAUACACAAACAAUACCAGCAUUGACCAGAUGGGGGCAGCAAAUAGUCACAGUUUCAUGUUUUAGGGUACGUUCCCACACGGCGUAUUUGCUGCGUAUUUGCUGCUGCGUAUUUUAUUUUCCCUGUUGAAGUCAAUGGGUAGGAAAAUACGCAGCACCAAAUACGCAGCACAAUACGCCGUGUGGGAAUGCACCCUUAGGGAAUAAAAGAUUACAGAUAUACAUGGAAUUAAUGGAGACAUUUGGAAGAGUAAAGUCACUUAGGGCUUUACAGCAAUGUUAAGCAAUGUUUAGUAACACAAUAAAUAAACAACUUGAUCAGUAAUACUGUGAUCAGUAAACCUAUACUGCUACUAGCAUGUCAUACUAGAGGACAGAUUAUAUUACAGCCUGUCUAUCUACUGGUACAGAUCAACACGGACAAACCAUUUGUUCAUUGUCAUCAUCACUGGGCCCUUCUGAAGAUUAUAGACCAGCUAUGACCAUGACCACUAGACGUACCACCACAA